ACAAAUUCAACAGUCAAAGAAUCAUUUCUUUAGUAAACAUCUCCUUCUGUGUUCUCUACAACAGCCACAGACUCCAACUGGGACGAUGAGCCGAUCCUCGAUACCCUAGAGUGAAACCGUUUUUGCUUUCGAUUUAUUCUCACUUCGGUGAGAAUAACGUUUUCUUCUCAUCACGAGUUGAAGAUGUAUAGAAAGUGGUGAUGAUCUCGACCCCUCUUUGAUUGACUUCGGUCGUUGAAUUGGGGUGGGUGUUGAUGGACGUCUGACCAGU
rnacentral:snoRNA from 1 species